rnacentral:piRNA from 1 species
UAGCAUUGAGCAUAUGGGUAGCUAGC